rnacentral:rRNA from 1 species
CAGCCGCCGCGGGAAUACGUAGGGUGCAAGCGUUAAUCGGAAUUACUGGGCGUAAAGCGUGCGUAGGCGGCUUCUUAAGUCGGAUGUGAAAUCCCUGAGCUUAACUUAGGAAUUGCAUUCGAUACUGGGAAGCUAGAGUAUGGGAGAGGAUGGUAGAAUUCCAGGUGUAGCGGUGAAAUGCGUAGAGAUCUGGAGGAAUACCGAUGGCGAAGGCAGCCAUCUGGCCUAAUACUGACGCUGAGGUACGAAAGCAUGGGGAGCAAACAGGAUUAGAUACCCGCGUAGUCCCUGUCUCUUAUAC